UAUUCUGCCCUACGGGGAAGGAUGAGAAGCUUCGACUAAGGUUCGACUCGAGCGCCAGCGAGAGAACGUUGCCACAGGCAACGGCCCGAAGGGCGAGGAGCGAUAGCGACGAGUUAUCCUUCCCCCACCACCA
rnacentral:sRNA from 2 species